AGAGCCAGAGAAUGAACAUCCUAGGUCUUGCUGGUCCAUCUAUUACAACUAUCCACCUCUGCCCAUGGAAGAGAGGACUGUCAAGAGGCAUGUCUAAUACUGAACCAGCUGCAAUAAAAAUAAAAUUACCCAAGCUACCGAGAGGUCUUCACUAGCUACAAUCCACAGGCAUCAAAGGCAACGUCCUGCAGGGUAUGCCACCACCUGGUCUCCAGUGCAACGCAGUUAUCCUGCCAGGCUUGCUGUCUCACCAAUUUGUUAAUACCAUAUCUGAAGCAGAAAAGAAAACAUUUGAAUCAGUUCACGUCUUCUGGUCCAGCACUGUCUUUCCUCAGAAUUUCAAAACAAACUGCUUUCAGAGAGAAAGAAACGUCUUCUCCUGUACUACAAAACAAAGACGAGGUUAAGCAGGACAAAGAAGGGAAAUGGAGAAGGGAACAACAAAAGGA